UUNAGGUCGACCCGCUGAAUUUAAGCAUAUCAUUAAGGGGAGGAAAAGAAACCAACUGGCAUUCCCUUAGUAACGGCGAGUGAACAGGGAGAAGCCCAUCGGUGAAGAGUCGCAAGAUUCGGUGUCCGGUUCGGAUUGGUGCUUAGUUCAUGCACAUUUGAAGCUAGAAAUCUGUUGGAAAACAGUUUCAUAGAGGGUGAGAAACCCGUAAUAGUAUCUUUGUCAUGGACAUCAUGGGCCCAAUCUAAUGAGUAGAGCUAUUUGAAAGUGUAGCUCGAAGUGGAGAUAUGUCUCUCCAAAGGCUAAAUAUAAUUGCAAGUCCGAUAGCGAACAAGUACCGUGAGGGAAAGUUGAAAAGCACUCUGAAGAGAGAGUGAAAAGUACGUGAAACUGUUGAGGGGGAAUUGAAGGGAACGUUACUGUGUUCAUUGCCGUCAAUUUAUUGAUGGCUUGCGAACUGUGCUGUUGCUUUUGAAAGCCUUUGAGAAUGGCUACAGUCUCCAAUUGUUUUCGAACUUUUGGUUGAUGUACGUCUAGAAUUUGGAUUAGAUUAAUCCCUUGAAUUGUGCAAGUAGAAUCAACAUCAUGAUCNAGUGUUCUCUACAACCCGUCUUGAAACACGGACCAAGGAGUUUGAGUUGCCCGCAAGUGAUUGUGCUGCUUGAAAGCAUACACGCGGAAUGAAAGUAAAUAUUGCAUUGCUUCGGCUUUGUAAUUACUAUGUGGUGAUAGCACUAGUACAGUGUCUGGCAACCACGGGCGGUCUAACCACUUCGGUGUGUGAUCGACCUUUAGCGAGUAGCUCAAGACCCGAAAGAUGGUGAUCUAUGCUCGGGCAGGGCGAAGCCACGGGAAACCAUGGUGGAGGCCCGAAGCGGUUCUGACGUGCAAAUCGAUCGUCUGACCUGAGUAUAGGGGCGAAAGACUAAUCGAACCAUCUAGUAGCUGGUUUCCUCCGAAGUUUCCCUCAGGAUAGCGAAGGCUUAUACGAAUCUGCGAAAGCAGUUUCAUUGGGUAAAGCGAAUGAUUAGAGGUCUGGGGGAAUUUAUUUCCUUCACCUAUUCUCAAACUUUAAAUCGGUGAGAUGUCCUUGUGACUUAAUUGCACUCGGACUUUGAAUGCAAGCCUUCAGUGGGCCGUUUUUGGUAAGCAGAACCGGCGAUGUGGGAUGAACCAAAUGUUGGGUUAAGGCGCUUAACUACUUGCUCAUGAGUAACCACAAAAGGUGUUGAUUGAUAUUGACAGCAGGACGGUGGCCAUGGAAGUUGGAAUCCGCUAAGGAGUGUGUAACAACUCACCUGCCGAAUCAAUCAGCCCUGAAAAUGGAUAGCACUAGAGCUCGUGGCCUAUACCCAGCCGUGAAUGUCAAUUUCCGUCAAGUCUUGGUCUUUUGGCCUUGCAAGAUGGAAUAUGAUUGAUGCGUAAUCAUAGAUUGCGUGGAUUCAGCAUUCAUGAGUAGGAGGACGCAGUAAUUGCAUCAAAGGAUACGCGUGAGCGUGUUCCCUAAGCGAUUACUGGUGCAGAUCUUGGUGGAAGUAGCAAGUACUCAAAUGAGAACUUUGAGGACUGAAGUGGAGAA
rnacentral:rRNA from 1 species